GGUCAGGACGAACGCUGGCGGCGUGCUUAACACAUGCAAGGUUGAACGGGUAUGACAUCGGAAGCUUGGCUGGAAGUGUCAUAUAGUAGCGGACGGGUGAGUAAUGCAUGAGAAGCUGCCAUUGGGAGGGGGACAACAGUUGGAAACGGCUGCUAAUACCCCGUAUGCCGGAGGGUGAAAGGGAGUAAUCCGCCCGAUGAGGUGCUCAUGUCCUAUCAGCUGGUUGGUGGGGUAACGGCCUACCAAGGCGACGACGGGUAGCCGGCCUGAGAGGGUGAACGGCCACACUGGAACUGAGAUACGGUCCAGACUCCUACGGGAGGCAGCAGGUGGGGAAUAGUUGGGCAAAGUGGGGGCAACCCUGACCCAGCGACGCCGCGUGGGGGAAGACGGCCUUCGGGUUGUAAACCUCUUUUGUACAGGAAGAAGGAAGUGACGGUACUGUACGAAUAAGUCCCGGCUAACUACGUGCCAGCCGCUGC
rnacentral:rRNA from 1 species